GGGAAUGUGGCUUAGUGGUAGAGUGCUUGCCUAGCAUGCAAGAAGCCCUGGGUUUGAUUCUUUAGUACCA
rnacentral:tRNA from 1 species